AUAAUGGGUCAGCGACUUAUAUUCUGUAGCAAGGUUAACCGAAUAGGGGAGCCGAAGGGAAACCGAGUCUUAACUGGGCGUUAAGUUGCAGGGUAUAGACCCGAAACCCGGUGAUCUAGCCAUGGGCAGGUUGAAGGUUGGGUAACACUAACUGGAGGACCGAACCGACUAAUGUUGAAAAAUUAGCGGAUGACUUGUGGCUGGGGGUGAAAGGCCAAUCAAACCGGGAGAUAGCUGGUUCUCCCCGAAAGCUAUUUAGGUAGCGCCUCGUGAAUUCAUCUCCGGGGGUAGAGCACUGUUUCGGCAAGGGGGUCAUCCCGACUUACCAACCCGAUGCAAACUGCGAAUACCGGAGAAUGUUAUCACGGGAGACACACGGCGGGUGCUAACGUCCGUCGUGAAGAGGGAAACAACCCAGACCGCCAGCUAAGGUCCCAAAGUCAUGGUUAAGUGGGAAACGAUGUGGGAAGGCCCAGACAGCCAGGAUGUUGGCUUAGAAGCAGCCAUCAUUUAAAGAAAGCGUAAUAGCUCACUGGUCGAGUCGGCCUGCGCGGAAGACGUAACGGGGCUAAACCAUGCACCGAAGCUGCGGCAGCGACGCUGAUGCGUUGUUGGGUAGGGGAGCGUUCUGUAAGCCUGUGAAGGUGUGCUGUGA
rnacentral:rRNA from 1 species